UGGGGAAUAUUGGACAAUGGGCGCAAGCCUGAUCCAGCCAUGCCGCGUGAGUGAUGAAGGCCUUAGGGUUGUAAAGCUCUUUCGCCGACGAAGAUAAUGACGGUAGUCGGAGAAGAAGCCCCGGCUAACUUCGUGCCAGCAGCCGCGGUAAUACGAAGGGGGCUAGCGUCGUUCGGAAUCACUGGGCGUAAAGCGCACGUAGGCGGAUUGUUAAGUCAGGGGUGAAAGCCUGGAGCUCAACUCCAGAACUGCCCUUGAUACUGGCAAUCUCGAGUCCGGAAGAGGUAAGUGGAACUGCGAGUGUAGAGGUGAAAUUCGUAGAUAUUCGCAAGAACACCAGUGGCGAAGGCGGCUUACUGGUCCGGUACUGACGCUGAGGUGCGAAAGCGUGGGGAGCAAAACAGGAUUAGAUACCCUGGUAGUCCACGCCGUAAACGAUGGAGGCUAGCCGUUGGCGAGCAUGCUCGUCAGUGGCGCAGCUAACGCAUUAAGCCUCCCGCCUGGGGAGUACGGUCGCAAGAUU
rnacentral:rRNA from 1 species